AAGCUCUCAGGUUGCAGAUUUCAACCCCAGGCUGAAAACGACGCGUCUGCACCAAAGCAUUCCUGCAGCGCCUCCUGCCCUGCCCUGCCCUGCGCGCGCACCGCACUCACACGCGCACACGCCCUCGCACACGCACACACGCACACGGCUCCGAGCUGCUCCUGUCGCCGGAGCAGGAGGGAACCGGUCUCUCGGAGGCGCUUCCGCGGGAGAGCCGCGCAAGGCGUCGGAAAGUUUCCUACCACUUGGGGGACAUAGAGGAGGAAGAAGUGUGAGUCUUGCUUUCUGAGUGGAAUGGCCCGAAAGUACCAGAAGUCUUGCCUGCAAGUGGAGCCCUCGACUUCCCCACUGAUCACCCCAAACUCUCACUCCUUCCCAGACUGAGGGGGACCGACCCGAGACCGCCAGUCCUCGAGGGGCCCUGGGCAGGUGUCUGGAGUAUAGGGAUGGGGGGACCCGGGAAUUAGCGGCCAGCGCUCGCACUGGUGCCGGGCCCCUGCCCACUCCGUGGAUCCAGCCCGCCUUGGAGCAGGGUGGGGAUUUCGCCCACACUCCGGGAAUGUUGCCCACCUUGAAACCUCAAUCAAAGCGGAAAGUGGUGACCACCUUCCCAGAGGAACGGAGUUUAACACCUCUUGAGGCACCAAAGGGGACUUGAUCCAGCCCAGAGGUUCUGCAAGUACCCCACAGCGACGUACAGAGCCGAAAGUGCCUUCUCGGUAGACCUGAUUUUGGGAAGCUCCACACCGGGGGUGGCCACUUCCCUUCUCAAGAAGUUCAACUGAGCACUGGGUAGUGACGUUCCCCAGUCUGACCCAGAUGCAGCAGUCCAGCCAAGGCCAGGCUGCGUGGGCAAAAAAAAAAAAAAAAAAAAAUGUUUGAAGACUCACAUCUUAUAAGUGUGAGGUUUUGAUCAGGCAACACAGAUUAUUUAAAGCGUUCGGUUUCUCCGCGAUCCAAUUUUAUUAGGAUUUACUCUCAUUUGUGCUCGGUUUCUCUGGGGAAAUAAUGCUUUGAUUAAUGUAAUCCUGGCCCGGGAUCCGCCACAUGCCCCUCGACCCUCUCCCAGGAGAAAGGCCCUGUUUGACAAACAAUAACAGAGCAGCAACUCUUUCAAUCUGCCCACACCUUUGGGGGUGGCUGGGGAGAGGGUGACACACGUUCACACGCUGCUAGCUAAAUGCAAUGGCGGGAAGAGGGAGCGGCUCUCUCUGGGGCGAACUUUCCAUAUUAAGAGUCCUGGAAUUAGAAGCGUGAGGGCUCACGCUUUAAGGAGAGGGGCCUGGGGCCUGGUGCGCCCAUGGAUGCGUGGGUGCACGGGUACAUGUACGCGCCUGUCCUCCGCUUGCCCGAGUGUCUACGUCUUUGUCCCUCGCCACAGGCCUCCACGGAGGAGAGAUGCGCGCUGCUUAUGGGCAACCUGCGGACCCAGGGUGCGUCCACAGCGCCCACCCGCGGCCCCAAGGUACCUGGAGACCUUAGAGCAGGCCUUAGGGGUUAACUGCGCGCACCAACCUGAGACGCCCUGCAGUUGCCAAAACCCCGGGAAGGAGCCUAGAACACGGGCCCCAAUUCAGAGGUUUUCCUCAUCCAUCCAUCCCUGCACUCAUCCAUCCUUCCAUGCUUACAUGCGUACAAGACAAAUCCGUGCACGGAGGACAGAGAGUCGUACCUCGCCCUCGGUGCGGGCUGAGAACGGCGCCCCCCAGGCAGCUCUCCCUCCUCCCGCUCAACCCCGGCCCCCUCCCCGAGGGAAGAACAGCUCAAUUACGAAAAGGAGCGAAGGAGUGAAAUCCCAAGCUCCAAGGCUCCCACCGACACUCCUCGGGUCCGGGUCCCUGUCGCGCAAUCCCCACCCCCACUGUCCCCAGCUCGAGGAGGGCGGGGACGCGGCGAAGUGAGGGGUCCUGCCCUGCUCUGCCAGAACAAAGCCCGCCGCGGGAGCCCGCGGCCGCGCACCAAGCCGGCGACAAAGGCGAGCAGGCGGCGCCAGCUCCAAGCCUACGCUCCUGAGGCCGGGCGGGAAAGAGGCCCAGAAGAUGGGUGCGAUUUGCACCCAGUUUUUCUUAGGCUGCAGAUUUCGCUCCCGUGUACCCAAUGACCUGUUAGUUAGGGUGACUCAGCGUUUAUCUGAUCUUUCCCGCCGCCGUCCCUCCCUCGUCCCUUUCUGUCCCCAGUCUCCUCCAUCUCAUCCUGCUCUUUCCUCCACCUCGCUCCUUUUACCUUACUCUCUUCUCACUUUGCCCUUUUAAAUCUCCUUUUCAUUUUCUUUUAUACAGGAAAGUAAUGCUAAUUCGACUUCUGCAGGCCGCUCCACAUGUUCAAAUCAUAUUCUGAAAAUCCUUACUGGACAGUGCUCAGGGAGAAAGGGGGGGGGUAUGGGAUCUUUUGGGUUUUAUCAUCCAAAUUGUGCUCUAAAUGAAAUAAAAUGCUGCUCUUUUGACUGCAAUCUAAGGAAGCUGAGCUUAGCCCCGAGGCUCCAGUAUUGCCGCUGAUCGGAAGAAGUUCCUUCUGGUGACCACAAAUCACAAAUGGCAAGAGUCAGGGCCAAAGGAGGACCCCACCAUUGUGGAAAGGCGUCCGUAAACGCUGAAGUUUCCAAGGCAAACCCUUUUGGGAAAAGUUCUAAUCUUAUAUUCUAACCCUGGAAGGGAAUCUCUAGCCAAUUCCCUUCAAUAAAAUCAUAGUGUUUUCAAAUUUA